rnacentral:rRNA from 1 species
GACGAACGCUUGCGGCGUGCUUAACACAUGCAAGUCGAACGGAAAGGCCCUGCUUUUGUGGGGUGCUCGAGUGGCGAACGGGUGAGUAACACGUGAGUAACCUGCCCUUGACUUUGGGAUAACUUCAGGAAACUGGGGCUAAUACCGGAUAGGAGCUCCUGCUGCAUGGUGGGGGGUUGGAAAGUUUCGGCGGUUGGGGAUGGACUCGCGGCUUAUCAGCUUGUUGGAGGGGUAGUGGCUUACCAAGGCUUUGACGGGUAGCCGGCCUGAGAGGGUGACCGGCCACAUUGGGACUGAGAUACGGCCCAGACUCCUACGGGAGGCAGCAGUGGGGAAUAUUGCACAAUGGGCGGAAGCCUGAUGCAGCAACGCCGCGUGCGGGAUGACGGCCUUCGGGUUGUAAACCGCUUUCGCCUGUGACGAAGCGUGAGUGACGGUAAUGGGUAAAGAAGCACCGGCUAACUACGUGCCAGCAGCCGCGGUGAUACGUAGGGUGCGAGCGUUGUCCGGAUUUAUUGGGCGUAAAGGGCUCGUAGGUGGUUGAUCGCGUCGGAAGUGUAAUCUUGGGGCUUAACCCUGAGCGUGCUUUCGAUACGGGUUGACUUGAGGAAGGUAGGGGAGAAUGGAAUUCCUGGUGGAGCGGUGGAAUGCGCAGAUAUCAGGAGGAACACCAGUGGCGAAGGCGGUUCUCUGGGCCUUUCCUGACGCUGAGGAGCGAAAGCGUGGGGAGCGAACAGGCUUAGAUACCCUGGUAGUCCACGCUGUAAACGGUGGGUACUAGGUGUGGGGUCCAUUCCACGGGUUCCGUGCCGUAGCUAACGCUUUAAGUACCCCGCCUGGGGAGUACGGCCGCAAGGCUGAAACUCAAAGGAAUUGACGGGGCCCCGCACAAGCGGCGGAGCAUGCGGAUUAAUUCGAUGCAACGCGUAGAACCUUACCUGGGUUUGACAUGGAUCGGGAGUGCUCAGAGAUGGGUGUGCCUCUUUUGGGGUCGGUUCACAGGUGGUGCAUGGCUGUCGUCAGCUCGUGUCGUGAGAUGUUGGGUUAAGUCCCGCAACGAGCGCAACCCUUGUUCACUGUUGCCAGCACGUUAUGGUGGGGACUCAGUGGAGACCGCCGGGGUCAACUCGGAGGAAGGUGGGGAUGACGUCAAGUCAUCAUGCCCCUUAUGUCCAGGGCUUCACGCAUGCCACAAUGGCUGGUACAGAGAGUGGCGAGCCUGUGAGGGUGAGCGAAUCUCGGAAAGCCGGUCUCAGUUCGGAUUGGGGUCUGCAACUCGACCUCAUGAAGUCGGAGUCGCUAGUAAUCGCAGAUCAGCAACGCUGCGGUGAAUACGUUCCCGGGGCU